rnacentral:rRNA from 1 species
GACGUAGGGGACGAGCGUUGUCCGGAUUCAUUGGGCGUAAAGCGCGUGUAGGCGGCCAUCUAAGUCGGGCGUGAAAUCCCACGGCUCAACCGUGGAAGUGCACUCGAAACUGGAUGGCUAGAGUCCUGGAGAGGAAGGUGGAAUGCUUGGUGUAGAGGUGAAAUUCGUAGAUAUCAAGCGGAACACCGGUGGCGAAGGCGGCCUUCUGGACAGUGACUGACGCUGAGACGCGAAAGCGUGGGGAGCAAACAGG